AGAAUUUUCUCUCUGGAGACAGCAGUUAUCUGUUUUUUUCACAGAUCCAGUACAGCAUGGGCAUCAGCUGUGUCUGCUUUCCCACAAAACCCUGUUAAUGUGCCUUAAACCUGGUGUGAAGGGAAUCACAGUGAUAAGAGUAGCUCACUUGUCAUGUCACUAAAUCUUUUCUCUCAGUCUGCU
rnacentral:sRNA from 1 species